GCAGUGGGGAGCUGUUGAGAGCAUUUUGAGUGGGGCAGUGACACUGCUGGCUCUGCAUUUUGGAAAGGUGGUUUUCAGAGCAGUUUGGAUGAUGCUGGGGAGUAGCUGACAGGUUGAAGAUCAGUCCUGAGGAGCAGAUUCAUAAUCCACUUAGGAAAAAGGAGGGGGGAUGCACGGAGUUAGCACAUAUUAAGUGCCUGCUGUAGUCAAGCCCUGUUGGACACCAGGGACAUCUGGACCUUGACAACGGAGCGAAGGGGUGGUCCUGCCUGCACCAGGUUUCAGUGGCUUCUCAGGCUUCUCUGCAGCAUGGGUGUUCCUGCCUUGGCCAGAGCCGAAAUCCCAGAGCAGUGAAAGAGGAGCCAGUGUCAUGGGGCUUCUGGUUUCAGGACACACUGGAAAGGCUGGUCCCUGAGUGCUCCAAGGACCCAUGCAUCUGACCAUAGGGGAUGCUGGGAGUAUCCUCCAUCCUGGCCUGAAAGAGCUCCCUUUCAGCUUCCUGGAUUCAUAUCUGUGGUCCAGCCACUUUGUCACAAGCUACAUCUAUGGCGAGCAACGACUCCCGGCUGCAGGGUGAGACAGAUAAGAGGAUAAGAGGGAGCAGGAGCAGACGGAGAAAGAAGGUGGCAAGACAGAGCAG
rnacentral:lncRNA from 1 species